UUCUGUUUCUGCUUUUUUAAAACCUUGUGCGCAAAGUUAACAGUGAGGAAAGACAGACUCAGCUUGUGGGGCUCCCAGCCAUUGAGAGACCUGAAAGUUUACCUAAGCAGUGCUUUCCGGGGUCCUAGUUUGGGAGGGUCAUUAUUGGAACGGAGGAAUGAUAUUUUCAGCAAACGUUAAAGUAGGAAAAUUAAACAUUGCUUUGAAAAGACAAGACUCUUCAAAACUUGGGGCCUUCGAUUGGCUGCCUCAUCUACAGCUGCGUAAACUGAAGCAAAGUGGGUGGGUCUACUUGAAGCCUCAGGGGGCGGCGGGCGGGACAGUCCUUGUGGGGGUCGCACGCAAGACGUUCCGGCAACCAGGGGGCCAGGCACAGCCGCCCCCAGCGAGGCCAGCGACCACGUGACAGCGCCGAUCGAUCACGAGCGGACUGCAAGACCCCGUGCCACCACUCUCCCGGCGGUCCAAUAAGAAAUGGGGAGCGGGCAAGGUGGGUGGGCCCUGGUCGCCCCGCCCUUCGCGAGGCGGGUCCAGCCGCCGCCCUCCAGUGAGGUCCCAGCGAGCCUGGCUCGGCGGAGGCAAAGGGCAAUGUUUACGUCAGUCAAACGGCCUCGCCAAUGAGUUCGCGCGCUGCGCUCGAGCCCGCCCCUGCCUCGGCCUCCCGGCGCCCGCGCUCCCUUCCCUCCGGCCGCCGCGGCCCGCCAGCCCGCACCUCCAUCCGGGUCUUCGCGUGCGACUUUCCGGUGGCUGCGGGCGGCAAGCGCCGGGGCCGGGCUGUCCCCGCGGAGGGCGGCGGCUGGCCGUUGGCUCUUCCACGAGCCUGAGGUGGGUACAGAAGCGAGACAGCGAGCGCGGGCCCGUCGCCAUUUUUCUUCUCUCGGACCCCUGGCGGAGCUGGGAAAAGGGGACCGCGGCGGCCUGGUUGGUAGAGAGGCCUGGGGGCCAGAGCAGGCCGGGCUGGCGGGUGGCGAGCUGAGGCCGCGGGAGGCGGCGGCGCGGGCGGGGGAUGGGCGCCGCGUGGCGCGUCCAGCCCCAACCCCCUCCGCUUCCCGCCCAGCGCCUCACGGACGGGGGGAGGGGUCAUUCUUCACAUUCUUCACCCAGCACCUCCCCCCACUUCAAUCAAACUUGGGCGGGGGAAGUCCCGCCCCCGCGCCGUGCCCAUUGGCCAGCAUCUCCUCCUGCUUUGGCGUAACUGGCUGCGGGCGCCGCCAGGUCCCCCUGACGUCGCUUCCGCUAUCAGGAGAACCAGGAUUACCUAGGAGAAAGCUUUCCUGUGGUGCUCAGCUGUGGUCCCUUUUCAGCAUUCACUGUGGACGUUCUCUUCACUGUGGGAUGAGGUAG
rnacentral:lncRNA from 9 species